UGGGGAAUAUUGGACAAUGGGCGCAAGCCUGAUCCAGCAAUGCCGCGUGUGUGAAGAAGGCCUGAGGGUUGUAAAGCACUUUCAGUGGGGAGGAAGAGCAUACGUCGAAUAGGCGUAUGAUUUGACGCUACCCGAAGAAGAAGCACCGGCUAACUCUGUGCCAGCAGCCGCGGUAAUACAGAGGGUGCAAGCGUUAAUCGGAAUGACUGGGCGUAAAGGGCGUGUAGGUGGAUAAAUAAGUUAUGUGUGAAAUAUCUGGGCUUAACCUGGAGGUGUCAUGUAAUACUGUUUAUCUCGAGUAGAGCAGAGGGAAGUAGAAUUUCCGGUGUAGCGGUGAAAUGCGUAGAGAUCGGAAGGAAUACCAGUGGCGAAGGCGGCUUCCUGGGCUCAUACUGACACU
rnacentral:rRNA from 1 species